GGACCCUCUAACCCUCGCUCAGUCAGAUCAUCGUUGUUCGCUGGAGCACCUAUCCAUGUCGGCACCUCCCAAUCGACAAUCUGCAGUCACCACUGAGAGCUCCACCUCAAACCUCUGCAUUGGAAUCGAUCAAGGAUGAACAAUGAGAUGAUACAAGAAAUUGAGAAUAUUGCUAUCACUAUGGACAUGAAGUCCUUAUCUUUGAAUACAAUUCAGUGAUGUGGAGCGAAAAGGAAUAAAUGGCUACGACCUCACUUGCAGAUGUUACGUUCAUGACUCAUUAUAUCAUUACACUUUCAUUGUUUUCUUAUUAGUGCGUUUUACUUUGAGAACUCAUCCUUUUAAUAGCAUUCAAUUUUUUUUUCUUCAAGGAAAAUAUUACUUUAAAAUCAUACAUUAGGUAGCACACACUCACAUUGUAUUUAUGUGGAUGUGUGUGCUGCUACUGUGUGUUUGUGACGUGUGCUGUUAAAAAACUCAACCAUCUGUCGUUUCCUUUAACA